GAACGGGUGAGUAACACGUGAGUAACCUACCCUUGACUCUGGGAUAAGCCCGGGAAACUGGGUCUAAUACCGGAUAGGAACGUCCACCGCAUGGUGGUUGUUGGAAAGAUUUAUCGGUCAUGGAUGGACUCGCGGCCUAUCAGCUUGUUGGUGAGGUAAUGGCUCACCAAGGCGACGACGGGUAGCCGGCCUGAGAGGGUGACCGGCCACACUGGGACUGAGACACGGCCCAGACUCCUACGGGAGGCAGCAGUGGGGAAUAUUGCACAAUGGGCGAAAGCCUGAUGCAGCGACGCCGCGUGAGGGAUGACGGCCUUCGGGUUGUAAACCUCUUUCAGUAGGGAAGAAGCGAAAGUGACGGUACCUGCAGAAGAAGCACCGGCUAACUACGUGCCAGCAGCCGCGGUAAUACGUAGGGUGCGAGCGUUAUCCGGAAUUAUUGGGCGUAAAGAGCUCGUAGGCGGUUUGUCGCGUCUGUCGUGAAAGUCCGGGGCUUAACCCCGGAUCUGCGGUGGGUACGGGCAGACUAGAGUGCAGUAGGGGAGACUGGAAUUCCUGGUGUAGCGGUGGAAUGCGCAGAUAUCAGGAGGAACACCGAUGGCGAAGGCAGGUCUCUGGGCUGUAACUGACGCUGAGGAGCGAAAGCAUGGGGAGCGAACAGGAUUAGAUACCCUGGUAGUCCAUGCCGUAAACGUUGGGCACUAGGUGUGGGGACCAUUCCACGGUUUCCGCGCCGCAGCUAACGCAUUAAGUGCCCCGCCUGGGGAGUACGGCCGCAAGGCUAAAACUCAAAGGAAUUGACGGGGGCCCGCACAAGCGGCGGAGCAUGCGGAUUAAUUCGAUGCAACGCGAAGAACCUUACCAAGGCUUGACAUGUUCUCGAUCGCCGUAGAGAUACGGUUUCCCCUUUGGGGCGGGAUCACAGGUGGUGCAUGGUUGUCGUCAGCUCGUGUCGUGAGAUGUUGGGUUAAGUCCCGCAACGAGCGCAACCCUCGUUCCAUGUUGCCAGCACGUAAUGGUGGGGACUCAUGGGAGACUGCCGGGGUCAACUCGGAGGAAGGUGGGGACGACGUCAAAUCAUCAUGCCCCUUAUGUCUUGGGCUUCACGCAUGCUACAAUGGCCGGUACAAUGGGUUGCGAUACUGUGAGGUGGAGCUAAUCCCAAAAAGCCGGUCUCAGUUCGGAUUGGGGUCUGCAACUCGACCCCAUGAAGUCGGAGUCGCUAGUAAUCGCAGAU
rnacentral:rRNA from 1 species